ensembl:snRNA U6 U6 spliceosomal RNA
GUGCUUGCUUCGGCAGCACAUAUACUAAAAUUGGAAUGAUACAGAGAAGAUUAGCAUGGCCCCUGUGCAAGGGUGACAUGCAAAUAACUCACAAUCAAGAAAACACU